rnacentral:rRNA from 1 species
UACGUAGGGGGCAAGCGUUGUCCGGAUUUAUUGGGCGUAAAGAGCGUGUAGGCGGCUUGGAAGGUCAGCUGUGAAAACUCGAGGCUCAACCUCGAGACGUCGGUUGAAACCACCUGGCUAGAGUCCGGAAGAGGAGAGUGGAAUUCCUGGUGUGGCGGUGAAAUGCGCAGAUAUCAGGAGGAACACCAACGGCGAAGGCAGCUCUCUGGGGACGUUUACUGACGCUGAGACGCGAAAAGCGUGGGGGAGCAAACAGG